rnacentral:rRNA from 1 species
UACGUAGGUGGCAAGCGUUGUCCGGAAUUAUUGGGCGUAAAGCGCGCGCAGGCGGCUUCUUAAGUCUGAUGUGAAAGCCCACGGCUCAACCGUGGAGGGUCAUUGGAAACUGGGGAGCUUGAGUACAGAAGAGGAGAGUGGAAUUCCAUGUGUAGCGGUGAAAUGCGUAGAUAUUGGGAGGAACACCAGUGGCGAAGGCGGCUCACUGGACCGGAACUGACGCUGAGGCGCGAAAGCGUGGGGAGCAAACAGG